rnacentral:rRNA from 1 species
UACGAAGGGGGCUAGCGUUGCUCGGAAUCACUGGGCGUAAAGGGUGCGUAGGCGGGUCUUUAAGUCAGGGGUGAAAUCCUGGAGCUCAACUCCAGAACUGCCUUUGAUACUGAGGAUCUUGAGUUCGGGAGAGGUGAGUGGAACUGCGAGUGUAGAGGUGAAAUUCGUAGAUAUUCGCAAGAGCACCAGUGGCGAAGGCGGCUCACUGGCCCGGUACUGACGCUGAGGUGCGAAAGCGUGGGGAGCAAACAGG